AUACGGAGGGUCCAAGCGUUAUCCGGAUUCAUUGGGCGUAAAGCGCGCGCAGGCGGUCUUUUAAGUUGGAUGUGAAAGCCUACGGCUCAACCGUAGAACUGCAUCCAAAACUAUUAGACUAGAGUGUGGGAGAGGAAGAUGGAAUUAGUUGUGUAGGGGUAAAAUCCGUAGAGAUAACUAGGAAUACCAAAAGCGAAGGCAAUCUUCUGGAACACUACUGACGCUGAGGCGCGAAAGCGUGGGGAGCAAACAGGAUUAGAAACCCUAGUAGUCC
rnacentral:rRNA from 1 species